rnacentral:tRNA from 1 species
AGGAACUUAGGAUAAUUUAAACCAAAAGCCUUCAAAGCUUUAAAUAGGAGUGAAAACCCCCUAGUCCCUG